rnacentral:rRNA from 1 species
UUUUAUUUGAGAGUUUGAUCCUGGCUCAGGAUGAACGCUGGCGGCGUGCCUAACACAUGCAAGUUGAGCGAUUUACUUCGGUAAAGAGCGGCGGACGGGUGAGUAACGCGUGGGUAACCUACCCUGUACACACGGAUAACAUACCGAAAGGUAUGCUAAUACGGGAUAAUAUAUUUGAGAGGCAUCUCUUGAAUAUCAAAGGUGAGCCAGUACAGGAUGGACCCGCGUCUGAUUAGCUAGUUGGUAAGGUAACGGCUUACCAAGGCGACGAUCAGUAGCCGACCUGAGAGGGUGAUCGGCCACAUUGGAACUGAGACACGGUCC